UACGUAGGGUGCGAGCGUUGUCCGGAUUUACUGGGUUUAAAGGGUGCGCAGGCGGCCGGCUCAGUGCGGAAUGAAAUACCGGGGCUCAACCCCGGUGCCGUUCCGCAUACUGGCGGGCUAGAGACAGGGCGAGGAGGCCGGAAUGGACGGUGUAGCGGUGAAAUGCGUAGAGAUCGUCCGGAACCCCGAUUGCGAAGGCAAGCCUCUGGCCCUGUUCUGACGCUCAGGCACGAAAGCGUGGGUAGCGAACAGG
rnacentral:rRNA from 1 species